rnacentral:rRNA from 1 species
UACAGAGGGUGCGAGCGUUGUUCGGAAUUAUUGGGCGUAAAGGGCGCGUAGGCGGUGCGGUAAGUCACCUGUGAAAUCUCCUGGCUCAACUGGGAGCUUGCAGGCGAAACUGCCGUGCUGGAGUGUGGGAGGGGAGAGUGGAAUUCCUGGUGUAGCGGUGAAAUGCGUAGAUAUCAGGAGGAACACCGGUGGUGUAGACGGCUCUCUGGACCGUAACUGACGCUGAGACACGAAAGCGUGGGUAGCAAACAGG